rnacentral:rRNA from 1 species
UACAGAGGUCCCAAGCGUUGUUCGGAUUCACUGGGCGUAAAGGGUGCGUAGGUGGUAAGGCAAGUCAGGUGUGAAAUCUCCGGGCUCAACCCGGAAAUGGCAUUCGAAACUACCUUGCUAGAGGGUUUGAGGGGGACUGGAAUACUUGGUGUAGCAGUGAAAUGCGUAGAUAUCAAGUGGAACACCAGUGGCGAAGGCGAGUCCCUGGAAAACUCCUGACACUGAGGCACGAAAGCUAGGGAGCAACAGG